rnacentral:rRNA from 1 species
UAUACGGAGAGUUUGAUCCUGGCUCAGGAUGAACGCUAGCGGUGUGCCUAAUGCAUGCAAGUCGAACGGGAACCUUGGAUUCGUCUGAGGUGAGAGUGGCG